GACGUAGGGCGCGAGCGUUGUCCGGAUUUAUUGGGCGUAAAGGGCGCGUAGGCGGUCACGCACGUCCGUUGUGAAAUCGCUCGGCUCAACUGGGCGGGGUCAGCGGAUACGGCGUGGCUGGAGCAAGCUAGGGGGCAAUGGAAUUCCCGGUGUAGUGGUGGAAUGCGUAGAUAUCGGGAGGAACACCAUUGGCGAAGGCGGUUGCCUGGAGCUUUGCUGACGCUGAUGCGCGAAAGCGUGGGGAGCGAUCCGG
rnacentral:rRNA from 1 species